AAUAGGAGAAUGACAAAUCAUAUUUUUCUUUCUGAUCUUCAGCUUUUUCCUCUUCAAAAAUUUUAAAUUCAACAAAAAAAUUUUAAAAAUCAAGAGAAAAAAAUCUAAUUUGUCAUUAUUCUAUU
rnacentral:pre_miRNA from 1 species